AAAAUCUGCAAUCAAAAAGAGAGAAAAGAUGUGUUGCAACUCCAAUGGCGUAAUCCCUACAAGCGAACCUCGCUUGCCCCUUUUCUCCACCCACCCACCAACAAUUUCUCCAAAUCCUCGUCUAUUUUUCCUUAACAAUCCUUCGAAUCAUGGAGUUUUGAGGACAAAAUUCGUUUCAUACAAAGCUAAAUCGAACCUAAACGAUGUCGUUUCUUA
rnacentral:misc_RNA from 1 species